GCACAUCCAAAAUUUAAUUGUUUAAUACAUUUGUGUAUGUGAAUAUUACUCACUGGGGAGUCUGUAGAGGAAACAUGACUUAUGGCUGAGGAUGAGGACAUCUUUGAUGUGGCUGUGGACUCAGAUUUGAUCACUUCUAGUGUAUGUAGUCACCGGCUGACAGAGCUGUAUACACCUACUUGAUCGAAUCCCUCUGGCUCAUGCUACAAUCAUCUGGCCUGUCGUCCUCCUGCGCAGAAUAUUGUUUGUACAGCUCCCACAUCUCCUGAGAGAUCGCUGUCCACAGCAGCCCCCUGUCAAGCCACGGUGCUGGGUAGCUGGAAGGUUCUUGUAGACGGCACGGCUGUACGGAAUAAAACACAGACCCAGCUGAAGGUGACGGGCAAGCCGGCAGUACGCAGCCAAGGCCAGAACCAGGAGUGGAGUCACUAGCAAGAAACCCACGACCAGCAGAGCCACACAGCCACCGUCAGUCAGUAGAUCCGAACAGUAUGGUGAUGAACCGUGCGGGCGCACCUGAAAAGAGAGACAUUUGACUGGUGUGGACCUGUGUGGGGUCAAGGAUGAGUGGUGGAAUGCAUGUAGGCAUUGCCGAGGAGGGUCAAAGAGAAAUAAAGUGUCCCUGGAGGAACACCAUCUCUGAGGUGUGGACAGACAGAGAACAGACACACUGGACAAGAAUGUCUACCAACAGCAUAUGCUUGUUUUCUUUAGAAAAUUGAUUGUUUGUUGCUUCCAGGGUAGUGUAUUUUUCUUUCUAAUUAUUAUUAUUAUUAUUAUUGUUGUUGUUGUUGUUUGUUUAUUUAUUUUUGACGGAGGACCACUGUUGGUCUGAUUCACUAAAAUCUCAAUAUAUCACCUUUGCUUUGUAAACAUUUCCUUGGUAAAGUAUUGCUAAAAUGUGCAAACAUUUAAUAUUAGAAGUGCAUUUGACAUUGUUUGAAAUAUGUAUGGUAAACUUGUAAAGGCUUUUUCCCCCCUCCCUUUGAGCUGCUCUGUGCCUGAUCACUACCAAAAUACAGAUUCUGCAUCAGCCUGCCGAAAGCUACAAUAAUUGUAUAUGCACAGAGACUUCAUAUAUACAUGAAACGUCCUUUUAAUUCUUUUGGUUAAGUGGCAUUGCACAGGAUGGAAAGGAUUGAGGCAUAAAAAGACCCCCACAUUCUUCAUCUAUCCCCCUGUGAGCUGGAGGAAAGGAGAGUAUAGACAGGAAAAACAGGCGACUGAGUAAACAGAGAGUAGGAGGGAGAAAACUGAUAAAGUCCAUCUGCAUUUUGAGCUGCACUUUCUCACACUGACAGGUUUCUUCACUCAAGUAGAUACUUGUAAAAAUCACAACUAAAAACAAAGCGUUCUUGGAGAGUUAUAGUUAGACAUUUAUUAGAGAUCACCCUAUCAUCAAAUUAUAUUGUGACAGCUGCAUGUGUGAAAAGCAAACAGUUUUUUUGGGGGGGGGUUUGUAAAUGAAUUUCAUUGUGGUUAGAAAUUUAAUAUUUAUUGUGAUGUUUUCAUCAGCUGUUUGGACUCUCUUUCUGACGGCACCCAUUCACUGCAGAGGAUCCAUUGGUGAGCAAGUGAUGUAAUGCUGAAUUUAUCCAAAUCUGUUCCAAUGAAGAAACAUACUCAUCUGCUUCUUGGAUGGCCUGAGGGUCUUACCGUUGAAUGACAGAUGAAGCCAAACACCACCAUGACAAUAGCAGGAGUUAGGAUGAGCCCGAAAACCAACCCGGCCAGGCAGGCGUUGAUGGCUGCGAUCACCAGGUUCUGCGCUGUCACCAGC